rnacentral:rRNA from 1 species
UACAGAGGUCUCAAGCGUUGUUCGGAUUCAUUGGGCGUAAAGGGUGCGUAGGCGGCGCGGUAAGUCGGGUGUGAAAUUUCGAGGCUUAACUUCGAAACUGCAUUCGAUACUGCCGUGCUAGAGGACUGGAGAGGAGACUGGAAUUUACGGUGUAGCGGUGAAAUGCGUAGAUAUCUGGAGGAACACCGGUGGCGAAGGCGGCAUCCUGGACCGGUAUUGACGCUGAGGAGCGAAAGCCAGGGGAGCAA